GUUAGGAUGGCUGAGUGGUCUAAGGCAUGAUAAUGAUUUGUGUCUUCCUAACUCCCUUGGGUGUUCUUGUCUCCAAAUGUAGGUGUGGGUUCAAAUCCCACCCCUGACA
rnacentral:tRNA from 1 species